rnacentral:rRNA from 1 species
GAUGAACGCUGGCGGCGUGCCUAAUACAUGCAAGUCGAGCGAACGGACGAGAAGCUUGCUUCUCUGAUGUUAGCGGCGGACGGGUGAGUAACACGUGGAUAACCUACCUAUAAGACUGGGAUAACUUCGGGAAACCGGAGCUAAUACCGGAUAAUAUUUUGAACCGCAUGGUUCAAAAGUGAAAGACGGUCUUGCUGUCACUUAUAGAUGGAUCCGCGCUGCAUUAGCUAGUUGGUAAGGUAACGGCUUACCAAGGCAACGAUGCAUAGCCGACCUGAGAGGGUGAUAGGCCACACUGGAACGGAGACACGGUCCAGACUACUACGGGAGGCAGCAGUAGGGAAUCUUACGCAAUGGGCGAAAGCCUGACGGAGCAACGCCGCGUGAGUGAUGAAGGUCUUCGGAUCGUAAAACUCUGUUAUUAGGGAAGAACAUAUGUGUAAGUAACUGUGCACAUCGUGACGGUACCUAAUCAGAAAGCCACGGCUAACUACGUG